rnacentral:rRNA from 1 species
UGCCAGCCGCCGCGGUAAUACGGAGGGUGCGAGCGUUAAUCGGAAUUACUGGGCGUAAAGCGCGCGUAGGCGGCUUUGUCAGUCGGAUGUGAAAGCCCCGGGCUUAACCUGGGAAUUGCAUUCGAUACUGCAGAGCUAGAGUAUGGUAGAGGGAAGUGGAAUUCCGGGUGUAGCGGUGAAAUGCGUAGAUAUCCGGAGGAACACCAGUGGCGAAGGCGACUUCCUGGGCCAAUACUGACGCUGAGGUGCGAAAGCGUGGGGAGCAAACAGGAUUAGAUA